CACGCACACACCAUGCCAUUAUAUCAAGAGCCACGUUAAAUUCCAACUGAACAUGUUCCACUCCCCUACAAAUCGAGUCUAAAUAAUGACAGUUAGCUUUACUGGACAGCUUCAACCGUAACACUCAAAAAUAAUUAUACUCCAGGAUUAGGCCUCCAUUAUCAUAAUCUGGACAUUGACAAUUACCUAUAAUUUGCAAAGAUGCGCUUGCUUCUUGAUUGCAGAAGGCUUUUUUCUAGCUCACCAUCACUAAACAGUGACAGUAAUAACAGCUAAUUUUGCAGGCAAUAUAUAAGAGGUACCGGGGUGUUCAAGCACUUUCACACCUGGAUAUGCUUACUCAACCACGAGCACUAGAACCGUGUACUGUCGCAGACAGUGUUCCCAUUCGAAGUCCAACCUUUUUGACCACUGCUAACACUAUUGUAGGCUAAAGAAUCAUAUGAAGCUGUAUAGAGUGAGGGGAGAGAUGACCGACCAGAGAAUUGGCCCUUCGGAGAGCGGCGGGCCAUCCUGGUGCUAUUAGGCUCGUGGCUAAUAAUAGGUGUUUCAGUCCAGGGAGGAGAUCAAUCAGUGGGAAUCAUGGGGAAUGUUCGGCGCAGCGCUUUUACACAUCAGCCCAGAUGGAUGAAAUUACACUUGUCUGUUUUUAGUUGCAUUACUCCCAAAUUGGUUGUCUACUUUUUUUCUCUCACUUAUUCUCUCUCUGCCUCUCCGUCCUUCCUCUCUCUCUUUCUUUCUCCACUCAUUCAUGUGUCACUGGGCUACUAAAAGGAUUCAGGCGCAAAAUUCCCUGUCAUUUUUGUCUUGUCCUUUGCUUAGCCGCACUCUCUUUCUCGAUUCUCUGUCACUUGCAUAUGGACUUAGCUGACAUCACUUGAGGUCUCGUCUUAUAUGUUGUUUUACUUCCAGUGAUUGGGCUGGGUUAUGUGCAAUGUUAUUCUUUGUAAAAAUGAUUUUUUUGGUAAAAAAUAAAAUUAUUUUCACAGUGAAAGGAUAAGUAUUGAAUACCUGAAUAAUGAGUAAUAAAUACCCUUAUUUCAGUACACAUUUGAAUGCAAUAUUGCGUCUAUUCUACUACCACAUAUACUUUCAAUCUAUUUGUGUAGGCCUGUGUAGAAUGAAGACAAACUAUUUUCUGACAUGCUUUUUCUUUUAAUAAUAUUACAGCUCCUGAAAUGCAUUGAAUGUAAUAUUUAAUAUUUCAAUCUAAUUGUAUUAAAUCUAAAUAAAUAGUUCAGAAAAGAAUGUGA